UGGGGAAUUUUGGACAAUGGGCGAAAGCCUGAUCCAGCAACGCUGCGUGAAGGACGACGGUCUUCGGAUUGUAAACUUCUUUUGCAGGGGACGAAAUCCCGGGCAACCGGGUCUGACGGUACUCUGCGAAUAAGCCACGGCUAACUACGUGCCAGCAGCCGCGGUAAGACGUAGGUGGCAAGCGUUACUCGGAAUUACUAGGCGUAAAGCGCGAGUAGGCGGAUGCUUAAGUCCGUUGUUAAAACUUCCGGCUCAACCGGAAGCUGUCGACGGAUACUGGGCGUCUCGAGUGAGGCAGAGGAAGCUGGAAUUCCCGGUGUAGCAGUGAAAUGCGUAGAUAUCGGGAGGAACACCAGUGGCGAAGGCGGGCUUCUGGGCCUUUACUGACGCUGAGGAGCGAAAGCUAGGGGAGCAAACAGG
rnacentral:rRNA from 1 species